GGCAAACCAAAUUUUCUGGGAAAUUGCGAGUAUAUUUUGUUAGUAUAUUAUAUCUAUAUUACUCAUUGCUCUGGAAAGUGAUCCACUUGCUUUAUUCGAUUUAAGUCUAAAAUUAAAGUAUCAAGAGCUUCGUGUUAAUUCGGUAAGGAAUUAAUAAUUGUAUUUACUAAUUUCCCGAAUUUACUUAAAUGCAAUUACUGCUGAAGUGUGAUAAACAAACCACUCUGUAUAAAUUCACCUAAACCGACCCAACGCGAUUUUAAGCACAUCAGCCCUGGAUGUGCCAAUUUACAUAAAUCACAUUCGCUUGUCCUUAUUCGUGAUACACACUAGGGUUUGCUCGUUUGUCUUGAGGUAUCCCUUCCCCUCCAAAGCUGUUGGUGAUCGCCCUCGUGAAUUCUCUGCGGUUACAUACGAGACUCAGAAAAUGAUAAACGACAAAAUAUACC